rnacentral:antisense_RNA from 2 species
UUCCAUGGCGGGCGGUGCGUGGAGGUGGGCGCAAGCCCACCGCCCGGGUAUAGCACUGACUCACGGGAUUUCCAGCCACGCACCGUCCGCCGCCUUG